AUUGAACGCUGGCGGCAGGCCUAACACAUGCAAGUCGAACGGUAACAGGAAGAAGCUUGCUUCUUUGCUGACGAGUGGCGGACGGGUGAGUAAUGUCUGUGAAACUGCCUGAUGGAGGGGGAUAACUACUGGAAACGGUAGCUAAUACCGCAUAACGUCGCAAGACCAAAGAGGGGGACCUUCGGGCCUCUUGCCAUCGGAUGUGCCCAGAUGGGAUUAGCUAGUAGGUGGGGUAACGGCUCACCUAGGCGACGAUCCCUAGCUGGUCGGAGAGGAUGACCAGCCACACUGGAACUGAGACACGGUCCAGACUCCUACGGGAGGCAGCAGUGGGGAAUAUUACACAAUGGGCGCAAGCCUGAUGCAGCCAUGCCGCGUGUAUGAAGAAGGCCUUCGGGUUGUAAAGUACUUUCAGCGGGGAGGAAGGGAGUAAAGUUAAUACCUUUGCUCAUUGACGUUACCCGCAGAAGAAGCACCGGCUAACUCCGUG
rnacentral:rRNA from 1 species